rnacentral:rRNA from 1 species
GGAAACCGGAGCUAAUACCGGAUAAUAUUUUGAACCGCAUGGUUCAAAAGUAAAAGACGGUCUUGCUGUCACUUAUAGAUGGAUCCGCGCUGCAUUAGCUAGUUGGUAAGGUAACGGCUUACCAAGGCAACGAUGCAUAGCCGACCUGAGAGGGUGAUCGGCCACACUGGAACUGAGACACGGUCCAG